rnacentral:lncRNA from 1 species
UUACAAUCGACCCUUUGGCAAGGGUCAAAUAAAAAUGUCAAUUCUCCGUACCUACCUCCCUUAAGUAUUCAUGAAACCCCAAACUACUACUGUCACCUAAGUAGUAAAACCGGAACAAGUAAAAUCAAACAAAAAUUCAAAGAGCCAUGACACCAAAUCUGGCAAUUAGAAAGAUAAGUAAAGUUAGAGUGUGACUUUUUAAUAGCAACAAUUCCUUUCUUACUAUUGAAUUAGUACAGAACCUCGGCACAAGGUCAGCUAACAACAGCAAAACAACGAAAAUAAUCACAAACCACAAAUGAAACCAACCCAACUUCUUAAUCCAAAAGAAAAUGACAUAACCCACGUCGUGUGACUCCAAAUUCAUGCUAUCCAAACCAUGUUAUGAAAUUGAAGGGAGAUAGCAAUUAACAAUAGCGAGAACGUCAUUAAUAGAGCAUCGUAAUAAACAAAAACAGAAGAUGUAAAUGACAGAAUCGAAACUCAGACCUUAAACCGGGAAUAGAGAUUAACGAUCUCAAAUAGAACCUCAACGAAAUCACUCGACGAUGCUUCGGACAGUACCGCAAGCAGCAAACUCAAAGUUGACGUCUCCAGUGAGAUCUCGAAACCAAAACAAAAGCAGAAACCUUAGCGACCUCCUCUUGAGCUUUCUCGAAUGAGAUCGGCGGCAGUGAAUUAGGAAAUCGGGGGUUAAGGGUUAGGGUUAUUUAUGAGUUUUGAAGGGGUGGAGUGGUCGUUGCAUUUUGCUCUAGAUUCUAGCGAUUUAGGGUGGUCCUUUUGGGUGUGUUGAUGGCUGAAAAAAAAUGAAGACUUAGGUUUUUCAAUUCUAAGGAAUUCAAAAGCCAUAGGAACAGAGCACGGACAUGGUCAUACUUGAUACCUGAUUCUUUUUGGGGCUGGUUGUCUCCGGCAUGAGGGUGUCAUUUGGUCGGAGAAGAAGAAGAGUAGCGUGAGGGUGGCGGCUAGGUAUAGGUUUUGAGAUGAUUAGGGUUUUGUUUAUGUAUACGUAUAAUGAAAUGAAACAAAAAAUAUGAGGGGAAGAGGGUGGGGGCCGUGUAGUCAGAUUUGGA